CAACGAUAAAAAUGCAAAACCCACGUUAUAUUAACCCCUUUUCCCCUUUCUUCUUCUUCUCCAUGCCUUAAUUCCUCUUCUUCAACCUGAAUUUCUCUGCCAAGAUUGAUUUUUUCCCCCAAUUUGAAGACCCCCGUCCUCCUUCGAUUUUCAGUUGAAGCUUUCUUCACAUCUUCUCUCUCAGUUUGUUACUUGACAAUGUCUCAAAAUUUAGAGAGGAUUGAUUCGUGCCAAUGUGGUCAGGCAUGUGUGUUUAAAAUCUCAUGGAGUUCGGCAAACCCAGGCAGAAGGUAUUUUUGUAUGCAAAAUUGGCUUAAUGGUUUGGGGAGGCAUUUCCUGAUCAAACAAAUAAAGUUAUUUAGGGUUUUUUGAAGAGAGUCAAGGCUUUUUAUCAAGAAAGGGAACGAGCUAGACAAUGGAGGAAUAAAUUAUUGUUUGUUAUUCCACUACUUGCCGUAAUUAUUUGGUUGUGUUGUUAUUCUUGCGAUUGUUGAUGCCAAAGAAUUUGGAAGUGGCUGAACGUAGUUGAUAGUGUAUUUGUGGGAUGGUUGUUAGUGUUGUUAGUGUUUGAUAAUGUUUUGUAGUUGGUGCCUUUUAUUAUUUGGAUGUUGUUUGUGUAACAAGUUGUUGUAGGAUGUUUACAACAUAUUUAGUUGUUAAUGUAAUUCACAAUAUUUGAAUCAUA